rnacentral:rRNA from 1 species
UCACUGGUCGAGUCGGCCUGCGCGGAAGAUGUAACGGGGCUAAACCAUGCACCGAAGCUGCGGCAGCGACACUAUGUGUUGUUGGGUAGGGGAGCGUUCUGUAAGCCUGCGAAGGUGUACUGUGAGGUAUGCUGGAGGUAUCAGAAGUGCGAAUGCUGACAUAAGUAACGAUAAAGCGGGUGAAAAGCCCGCUCGCCGGAAGACCAAGGGUUCCUGUCCAACGUUAAUCGGGGCAGGGUGAGUCGACCCCUAAGGCGAGGCCGAAAGGCGUAGUCGAUGGGAAACAGGUUAAUAUUCCUGUACUUGGUGUUACUGCGAAGGGGGGACGGAGAAGGCUAUGUUGGCCGGGCGACGGUUGUCCCGGUUUAAGCGUGUAGGCUGGUUUUCCAGGCAAAUCCGGAAAAUCAAGGCUGAGGCGUGAUGACGAGGCACUACGGUGCUGAAGCAACAAAUGCCCUGCUUCCAGGAAAAGCCUCUAAGCAUCAGGUAACAUCAAAUCGUACCCCAAACCGACACAGGUGGUCAGGUAGAGAAUACCAAGGCGCUUGAGAGAACUCGGGUGAAGGAACUAGGCAAAAUGGUGCCGUAACU